UAAGGAAUAUUGGUCAAUGGACGAAAGUCUGAACCAGCCAUGCCGCGUGGAGGAUGAAGGUCCUCUGGAUUGUAAACUUCUUUUAUAUGGGGCGAAAAAAGGCUUUUCUAAGUCGUCUGACGGUACCAUAUGAAUAAGCACCGGCUAACUCCGUGCCAGCAGCCGCGGUAAUACGGAGGGUGCAAGCGUUAUCCGGAUUCACUGGGUUUAAAGGGAGCGUAGGUGGGCUGGUAAGUCAGUGGUGAAAUCUCCGAGCUUAACUCGGAAAUUGCCGUUGAUACUAUUAGUCUUGAAUAUUGUGGAGGUUAGCGGAAUAUGUCAUGUAGCGGUGAAAUGCUUAGAUAUGACAUGGAACACCAAUUGCGAAGGCAGCUGGCUACGCAUAUAUUGACACUGAGGC
rnacentral:rRNA from 1 species